UACGUAGGGGGCAAGCGUUGUCCGGAUUUAUUGGGCGUAAAGAGCGUGUAGGCGGCUUUACAGGUCCGUUGUGAAAAACUCGAGGCUCAACCUCGAGACGCCGGUGGAAACCGUAAGGCUAGAGUCCGGAAGAGGAGAGUGGAAUUCCUGGUGUAGCGGUGAAAUGCGCAGAUAUCGGGAAGAACACCCGUGGCGAAGGCGGUUCUCUGGGACGGUACUGACGCUGAGACGCGAAAAGCGUGGGGGAG
rnacentral:rRNA from 1 species